AUCGAAUUGGUGCGGGAGAAGGUUGCAAAUACGAUGAGUCGAAUGAACCACCACAAGCCAAAGUGGAACGAUAGCCACAAUUCUGGGAGAGGAAACAAAUUACGGCCAAAUGCAUGGGAAUCAGUUACAGGUGGCCUGGGAAACUUAACCACAAAAUACAAUUAUUUAGCUUUGUGCCUGGUUGGAGUUAUUGGAGCUGCGUUCGACUUCUUCAUCAGAAACAAGAAGGCCAAGAAACAAAUACUGAAAUUUUGUUCUCUUUUGGUUGCGAUUGGAAACCUUUUAAUGGUGUGCUUUCAAAACAAUGGAGGUCGAAACCAAAAAUAUAUGCGAGGAUCAAAAAAAAAUAAAUGAAAACGGAAAAGUAUCAUUAUCAGCAAUAUAAUGAUUCAGAUUUGUGGUUGAACUUAUCGAAGCUGUUAAAAAAUUAAAGGCGAGCUAAUAAAGGCAAUAGAAUUUUAACGAAGA